CGUCAAGUUCCCGAAAUGCCACUUACUUGAAGAUCGAUGUCAAGAGGAGUUUCUCCACCUAAUCCCGUCGAUGUCCAAGUUAGUAAUCUGAGGUGACAAUGGAAGAGGUAGCCCACAACUGUCUGUUUUGGACUUAUGUCCACAUGGGUAGACAAAGGGGAGGCAAGUCCUAUCCUUGAGGUUGAUUGGGCUAUCACAUCGAUAGCCAUGUAUCGAAUGGUCAUUGGUCCAAAUACUUGCCCUACCAUUUGUCCCCUCUGAAGGCAUGCUUCGGAAGCUCCUUGGAGAGGGUCUUAAAGCGCAACAUUUGCCCCAUCUAACACGUUGAUUUUACGCCCCUUCAUCACCUUUCCGAGGGGUGUCAGGGUGCCCGAUGUCCAUGCCUCAAGCAAUGAAGGGGUUUGGGAACUUGACCUCCUCGCCUCUGGAAACGAGGGGUGUCGGGGCGCCCGACCUUCAUGCCUCAGGCAACGAUGGGGGUCGGGGUGCUUGACUUCAAGCCUCGAGCAACUAAGGGGGUCGGGUAUCUUGUCUUGCGCACCUCGAGCAAGCAGCGAGGGGGGCCAUAUUUCCUAACUUGCACGUUGUGGGCUGGUAGCGAGGAGGGUCGGGAUAGGUGAGUGUGGUAAUGUAUGGUAAAAAGUGAUCCCUCCCCCCUCCCUGGUAAUUAUGCUAUAAGCGAGCUUUUGUAUCUAGUACCAAAGGGGUAGAAUAUUCUAUGGAAUAUUUCACAAGAAGACGAGACUUAAUCGCGUCUAACAACCUCUAUUUAUCUUUUUGUCGUUGUAGGUGACAAGGAAGGAGGCAACCCAUAAUUGUUUGUUGUGGACUCACGUCCACGUGGGUAGACAAAGAGGAAGCAAGCCUUAUCCUAGAGACAAACUGGGUUGCCCCAUUGAUAGCCACGUGUCAGAUGGCCAUUGGUCCAAAUAUUUUAUCCAUCACUCCCUAAGAAUAAUGGGCAAUUAGGCUUGCCCACUAUCAUAUGUUAAUGCAUUGGGAGAAAACAACGAUCUCUUAAAUUACUGGUUCAUUGGUUAUACCAUUUCAUAUAGACCAACAUCAUAUUAAGGAAACAAUACAUGGGAUGAAAAUUGAACUUCAUUAUUGUUAAUAUUUACAUGAAAAUAAAUUUUCUAUCCCUUCAAUUAUUAUGAUAUACAUGAACAAACAUCCUUUUCUAUAUAAGAUUUUUAUGAGCCCACAUGUAAGCUACUACUCCAACCAUGAGCUCAUAGUCGAAUCCAUGGGAUGUCAUUAGACAUCAUGUGUUGGCGAGGCCUCUAGGAUCGUAGUCGAUGCAGUGAAGGUGUUAUCGAACAUCAAGAAGGCAUCGACCUUUUCCAGGGUCGUGAAAAAGACAUCAUCAGUGCAGUACAUCUGAUCACUGCCAAGCUUGACUGACAACAACGACAAAGCCCAUAAUGCUUCGAGCUCUUCCACAAUAAUCACAAGCUCACCUCCACCAACGUAUAUUGAAGAUGGUGAGGCAAGGUGGCUUCAUUUAAUGUAAUAGAGUCAUCGAAGGAAAGACAAGUCUUUGGGGGUGUCACAAUAGGAGCCAACAUGGGAUCUUGCACCACCGCGUUGGGAGCUUGGUAGAUAUUGGACCACUAAUUCGAAUCCCCAACUUACCAUAUUUGCUGCUGUUGCUUCUAUCCUCCGCUGGAUUCUAUGACAAGUACAACCAAGUAUUUGAAUCCACAGCAUGGCUUCUUUGACGAUCAUGCUUUACUAUUGAGAGAAUAGAAGAUUUGUCUCUCUCUCUCUCUCUUUAGCUCAACAAAGCUACCACAGGUUAUUGUCUCUAUGGUGGCCUUCGUGAACGUGGAUUCAUCUCCGACUCAUUUGUGUCGGGACUGUUUGAAGCUGCCACUGAAGAUGGCCUAUUGCGAGCUCUUCUUGACGUGACAGAGAACUUGUCUCUUGAAGCUGUGGGAUACGGAAGAACACAUCGUACAUUGUCCACUCGGAGUUCUUUCGCUAGCCGUUGUUGAAGGAUAAGCACCUCUUUUGCCCCACCAUGAUCUUGUGCUCGUCGACAAUGGACUUGACGAGUUCUUGCAAGAAUUGUUAUUGGCCUUUCGAUCCACAUGUUAGUUGUCAUUGUUCUUGAGCUUCCGCUUCACAAAGAAAUAGCCCUCCUACUGAUCGUUGUCGAGAAGAUUCCAAAGCUCAAUGUUGUAGAUGUUGGCGAAGUCAAUAGCGCGAACAGAGGUGUCCAUCAACAACCUAGUUGCUGAGGUAGUCAACCACUAGCUCCUCCGCAGACGAAAGGAACAUAUAGCCUCUUGGAACAAGGUCGACAUGCUCCAUGGAUGACUCAAGUUAGUUUUAGGAGAGGAGAGAGGAGACGAACCCAUCUUUGUCACACCCGCCAAAUUAACAUAUUCAAGAGGCAUGAACCUAUCUUAAAUCAAGAAUAUUAUGAUUCAUCCACAUUUCAAAUUUCAAGAUCCAAACUAAUAUUUGAGGACACUGAAAAAACAUUCAAACAUUAUUCACAUCUAUAAAGCUUGUGCAAUUUAUAAUCAUAUACUACAUCACUCGAUAAUUCACAUAACCCAAAGUCAACUUAACAAAAGAUUAACCACACUUACAAAUCUAGAAAGAAAAAGGAGAAGAAAUGGUUUCUUGAAGAUAAGAGGAGUGGAGAUGAGGAAGGAGCAAGGGGAAGGGGAAAGACUUGGGUGGGGUUUCAAUAUUAUGGUUUGACCAUAUGUACUCUAAAGGAAGGACCCAUGCUGCUAAAACCUCAUAGUCUUUCCUCUUCUCCCUUCUCCUUCCUUAUCUUCUCUCCUCUUCAAGAAAUCAUCUCUUCUCCCUUUUCCCUCGUCAUCUCCGCUCUCCUCUCCUUUUGAGGAAACCAAAGCUCGUCGCCCUCGUUUCAAGAGGCUACAGGUUCCGUCUACGAAGGAGCUGGUGGUUGACUACCUCGGCAACUGGGUCACUGACAAACCCCUCCUUGACCAUGUUGUCACCUUCGAAAAUGUCUAUGACAUCAAGCCAUGGAAUAUUCUCGACAACGAUCGGCAAGAGGGUUAUUUCUUUGCGAAGCGCAAGCCCAAGAACAGUGGUGACUUGUGUGUGGAUCAAAAGGUCAACGACAGUUCUUGCAAGACAACAAGAUCGUGGUGGGGCAAAAAAGCUACCUAUAUUUCAACGACAAUCAACUGAAGAACUCUUGAGUGGACAAUGUAUGAGUAUAAGAUGUGUUAUUUCACAUCCCAUGGUUUCGAGAGACGAGUUCUCGGUCACGUCAAGAAGAGCUCGCAAUAGGUCAUCUAUGGCAGCAACUCCAAAUACUCCCCAUCGCAAAAGGGUCAGAGAUGAAUCCAAGUUCAUGGAAGCCGCCAUAGAGAGUCAUCGGCGGUUGCUUCGUUGCGCUAAAGAGAAAGAGAGUUGAAUCUUCUACUCUCUAAGCAGCAAGGCAUGAAUCGUCAAAGACGCCAUGCUGGGGAUUCAAAUAUUUGGUUGCACAUAUCAUUGAUUCCAGCGGAGUAUUACAGCAACAACAACAAAUAUACAAGCUAGGGAUUCGAAUCAAUGUUUUGACAUCUACCAAGCUCCCACCACGUUGGUGCAAGAUAAUACAAGAGUCUAAGCAUAAGCAUAGGACAUGACACUAACGUAAACAUUAUUACACCACGCAAUACAGGAGUCUAAGCAUAAGCAUAAAUUGAUCCAACUGAGGAGGUGUCAUCUUCCCAACUGGAUGCCAUCGGGACUAUCUGCAUAUGUUGAUGUGACGCCGGUCGAUGGACCCAAUCGUAAAGUUAAGUCAUGCGUCGGAUCUUCAUUCUCGGAUUGCAACUGAUGAUUGAGUUCUUACUACAUGCUUGCAUGUCUCUUUCCUUGAUUUGAGAGAGAAAGUCUCUCAUAGAGGGGAGUGAGGGACUCCAUCAAUGGUAUGAUUGAACACAAAAAUGGGCUAAAAUAUUGAGCAAUCAUUUUUUGUCCUUUUAACCUAGAGAUUGGAACAUUGUAGGGAUGGACAAAAAUGUUGAUCAAUCAUCCUUCAUCUUGACUUGAAUUGAACUCCUUGUAGUUGUUGGCCAAGCUUAGGAUGACGGAUUCCAUAUCUUUUAGCCUACAAGAUGAUGAAGGCAAGCCCCUAAAAGAGACGAGGAUAAAUUGUGGUCGCCACACGAAUGUAAAGGAUAUUUUCUUCUGAAUGUAAAGAAUUGAAGAGAGAAAAACAGAUAUCGUGUUCCUCCGCUCGGCAGCAAUGCUGAUCACACGUUGUGCACAAAGGAUCACAAUUAUGCUCAUCGGCUACCAUUGACUUGAUCAUGUAGCCAUGACAACGAAAAACAAAUUUUCUUCUCCCAGUCAGCAAUAACCUCUCUGUUGUCAAUAAUGCUAUCCCUAGCAAAAUAAAUCUAUAGCCCUAUGUAUACAGUUUCUUGAAUCAUUCAAGGAAAGUGGUUGCUCCUUGGACUUGGCAUAUCCAUCCUUUCCUUGGACUUGGCAGCUUCUAAUACUAGGCCAUAGCUUGCAAUGCUUGUACUCGUACGUUCGACUUGCUUGCAUGAAGCAGCUCCCCUGCAUUAGCUAAGUUUGAAGGCACUAGUGUGUUGACUUGGCACCAUCCGAGAAUUCUUGUAAAUCUCCUUUGUUCGAUCUUUUAAAUGUACUAUUGUUUAAAGUAGCUAAGCCUUUCUCAAUGACAAGGUUUUUUUGGUUUAGCAUGCCUGUGGUCACGUGUUUAAAUCUAAGAAGACGCUGGUUGGUAGGUAAGUGUUUUUGCCUUUAUAUUACACUUCCCCUGUCGAUAGCAACAUGGAAAAUGCGGAGGAGGACCUCUGGGCCUCCCUCUCCCCCUCUCCUUUGGUGCAACGGGGGUGGUGCCUCGCUCUCCUCGUGAACCGCAGUGUCAUCAUCUGCAUUGUCUGUCUAGCCCUAAGUGAGGGCAUAACUUAAUUAAAUUGGCCAUCCAUCAUAGCAAUGGGGUGUCUUCCUCUUUCUCCUUGGAUACAAGGAAAGAACAUAAUUGCUAGGAGCUAUUGGCAGUCACCAAAAUUAGAAGAGGCCUUUUGCAAACUUAUUCGAAUUGGCAGUAUACAUAUUUCCUUAUUCGAA